rnacentral:rRNA from 1 species
AGAUUGAACGCUGGCGGCAGGCCUAACACAUGCAAGUCGAGCGGCAGCACGGGUACUUGUACCUGGUGGCGAGCGGCGGACGGGUGAGUAAUGCCUAGGAAUCUGCCCGGUAGUGGGGGAUAACGCUCGGAAACGGACGCUAAUACCGCAUACGUCCUACGGGAGAAAGCAGGGGACCUUCGGGCCUUGCGCUAUCAGAUGAGCCUAGGUCGGAUUAGCUAGUUGGUGGGGUAAUGGCUCACCAAGGCGACGAUCCGUAACUGGUCUGAGAGGAUGAUCAGUCACACUGGAACUGAGACACGGUCCAGACUCCUACGGGAGGCAGCAGUGGGAAUAUUGGACAAUGGGCGAAAGCCUGAUCCAGCCAUGCCGCGUGUGUGAAGAAGGUCUUCGGAUUGUAAAGCACUUUAAGUUGGAGGAAGGCAGUUACCUAAUACGUAUCUGUUUUGACGUUACCGACAGAAUAAGCAACCGGCUAACUCUAGUACCAGCAGCCGUA